rnacentral:misc_RNA from 1 species
AACGCACAUUGCGCCUACUAGUAUUCUAGUAGGCAUGCCUGUCCGAGCGUCAUUACAACCCUCAAGCGCUGCGGUGCUUGGUGUUGGGGCAUCUGCUGCUCUGCAGCAGGCCCUGAAAGCUAGUGGCGGGCUCGCCGCGACCCUGAGCGUAGUAGUUAUACACCUCGCUUCUGCGGCUCGCGGCGGGCUUCCAGCCGUGAAAACCCCCUAAUUUUCACAAGGUUGACCUCGGAUCAGGUAGGAAUACCCGCUGAACUUAA